rnacentral:rRNA from 1 species
UACGAACUGUGCGAACGUUAUUCGGAAUCACUGGGCUUACAGGGUGCGUAGGCGGCUUGUUAAGUAGGGUGUGAAAGCCCCCGGCUCAACCGGGGAAUUGCGCCCUAAACUGGCGAGCUGGAGUGAGAUAGGGGUGUGUGGAACUUCCGGUGGAGCGGUGAAAUGUGUUGAUAUCGGAAGGAACGCCGGUGGCGAAAGCGACACACUGGAUCUUGUCUGACGCUGAGGCACGAAAGCCAGGGGAGCAAACGGG